AUUUUUAUAUCUACCCCUUUUUAAUUUUAAUGACUAUUCUACCAUUUUCUUUACACAAACCUUUCUUCUCAGAAUUGACGAUCCGCAAUUUAUUCUCUCUUAUGCCGCCGCCGUCAACUUCACCGUCGCCGAAAUCGGGAACUCAUCAUCGUCGUUUCUUUCUUUCUUCUUCUUCUUCUUCCUCUUCUUCUUCUUCUUCUUCUUCUUCUUCUUCUUCUUCUUCUUCUUCAUCUUCUUCUUAUUCUCAGAUGCUACUGUAACUGCGAUCCGUCGAUCUCGUUGUUGUUGAAAUUGGGCAACUCGUCGUUGCUGUAAUUGGGAACCAGUCAUGUUCAGUCUCGUGUUUAUCAUCUGCUAUGUACGCUUGGGAAGCCUAAGUCAGGCAUAUGCUCGAGUUGAGUCGUUGAUGCGGAUAUCAACUUCACAUUUGGCCAUUACAAGGAAGCUAUGAAACAGGUAUAUAAAGAGUGAUUUCAAGUUUGGAUGACAAGAAUAUUAAGAGGUUACAAUAAUCUUUGGAUUGGUGGGAGAAGAGACUGUAUGAUGUGUGAGAAAAGAAAGAAGAUGAGGUUGACACUACAAAAAUUGGAAGAGUUGAAAGGACACUGAGCUGAAGUGCUCAUAAUUAGAAUCUCUAACUGAGCUGAAGUGCUCAGAAAGGACAGUAAACUAAAGUGCUCAGAAAGAGUGAAGUUUUCUUGUUUUGAAAGCUUCUCUCUUCUCUGAUGAUGUUGUUUAGUGUUCUUGCAUUCUUAGGAGACUUGGAUGAUUGAAUUGAAUUGAAUUGUUUGUUUUGAGUUGAUGCUAAUAUGGUGGAAUUGACGAAUGUGGGUAUCCAAGAUCUGUAGUUAUGACUUAUGAGAGAGUUUAAAUGACUGAAGUUCAUGAUUAUAAUACUCACAUCUGUAUUUGUAAAAGCAACAAGUCUUUGUGUGUAUUCAUUGAUUUUAAAAUA